rnacentral:rRNA from 2 species
UGCGGGCGGCAGUCUACCAUGCAGUCGAGCGGUAGCACAGGGAGCUUGCUCCUGGGUGACGAGCGGCGGACGGGUGAGUAAUGUGUGGGAAACUGCCUGAUGGAGGGGGAUAACUACUGGAAACGGUAGCUAAUACCGCAUAACGUCUACGGACCAAAGUGGGGGACCUUCUGGCCUCUUGCCCUCACAUGUGCCCAGAUGGGAUUAGCUAUUAGGUGGGGUAAUGGGUCACCUAUGCGACAAUCCCUAGCUGGGCUGAGAGGAUGACCAGCCACACUGGAACUGAGACACGGUCCCCACUCCUACAGGAGGCAGCAGUGGGGAAUAUUGCACAAUGGGCGCAAGCCUGAUGCACCCAUGCCGCGUGUGUGAAAAAAGCCUUCGGGUUGUAAAGCACUUUCUCCGAGGAGGAAGGGUACUGUGUUAAUAGCACAGUGCAUUGACGUUACUCGCAGAAAAAACACCGGCUAACUCCGUGCCAGCAGCCGCGGUAAUACGGAGGGUGCAAGCGUUAAUCGCAAUUACUGGGCGUAAAGCGCACGCAGGCGGUUUGUUAAGUCACAUGUGAAAUCCCCGCGCUUAACGUGGGAACUGCGUUUGAAACUGGCAAGCUAGAGUCUUGUAUAGAGGGGUAGAAUUCCAGGUGUAUCGCUGAAAUGCGUAUAGAUCUGGAGGAAUACCGGUGGCGAAAGCGGCCCCCUGUACACAGACUGACGCUCACGUGCGAAAGCGUGGGGAGCAAACAGGAUUAUAUACCCUGGGAGUCCACGCUGUAAACGAUGUCUACUUGUGGGGUUGUGCCCUUGAGGCGUGUCUUCCGCGAGCUAACGCGUUAUGUCGACAGCCUCGGGAGUACAGCCGCAAGGUGUAUAAACUCACAUGAAGUUGACAGGGGGGCCCGCACAAGCGGUGGAGCAUGUGGGUUUAAUUUCUAUGCGACGCGAAGAAACUUAUCUACUCUUGACAUCUACGAGAAUUCUCUAGAGAUAGCUUAUAGUCGUUCUGGGAACUCUGAGACAGUGCUGCAUGGCUGUCGUCAGCUCUGUGUGAAAUGUGGUUAGUCCGCACGAGCGCAACCCUAUCCUGUGCAGCACGUAUGCGGGAACUCAAGAGACUGCGGUGAUAACCGCA